rnacentral:rRNA from 1 species
UACGUAGGGUCCGAGCGUUUGUCCGGAAUUACUGGGCGUAAAGAGCUCGUAGGUGGUUUGUCGCGUUGUUCGUGAAAACUCACAGCUCAACUGUGGGCGUGCGGGCGAUACGGGCAGACUGGAGUACUGCAGGGGAGACUGGAAUUCCUGGUGUAGCGGUGGAAUGCGCAGAUAUCAGGAGGAACACCGGGUGGCGAAGGCGGGUCUCUGGGCAGUAACUGACGCUGGAGGAGCGGAAAGCGUGGGGAGCGAACAGG